rnacentral:rRNA from 1 species
CCCUUAGAUGUUCUGGGCCGCACGCGCGCUACACUGAGCCCUUCAUCGAGUUUACAACCUUGGCCGGUAGGCCUGGGUAAUCUUCUCAAAGGGGCUCGUGCUGGGGAUAGAUUAUUGUAAUUUUUAAUCUUCAACGAGGAAUUCCUAGUAAACGCAAGUCAACAGCUUGCAUUGAUUACGUCCCUGCCCUUUGUACACACCGCCCGUCGCUACUACCGAUUGAACGUUUUAGUGAGGCAUUUGGACCGACGCAUCUCAGUUUAACCGCUGGUUUGUGUUGGAAAGACUUCCAAACUUGAGCGUUUAGAGGAAGUAAAAGUCGUAACA